GAUGAACGCUGGCGGCGUGCCUAAUACAUGCAAGUCGAGCGAACGGACGAGAAGCUUGCUUCUCUGAUGUUAGCGGCGGACGGGUGUGUAACACGUGGAUAACCUACCUAUAAGACUGGGAUAACUUCGGGAAACCGGAGCUAAUACCGGAUAAUAUUUUGAACCGCAUGGUUCAAAAGUGAAAGACGGUCUUGCUGUCACUUAUAGAUGGAUCCGCGCUGCAUUAGCUAGUUGGUAAGGUAACGGCUUACCAAGGCAACGAUGCAUAGCCGACCUGAGAGGGUGAUCGGCCACACUGGAACUGAGACACGGUCCAGACUCCUACGGGAGGCAGCAGUAGGGAAUAUUCCGCAAUGGGCGAAAGCCUGACGGAGCAACGCCGCGUGAGUGAUGAAGGUCUUCGGAUCGUAAAACUCUGUUAUUAGGGAAGAACAUAUGUGUAAGUAACUGUGCACAUCUUGACGGUACCUAAUCAGAAAGCCACGGCUAACUACGUG
rnacentral:rRNA from 1 species